GGCACCGUGGCCUAAUGGUAAGGCGUCGCUUUCCGGUUUCUUCCCGCGCAGCGAAGUUGGAGUCUGGCGAAGAUUGUGGGUUCGAGUCCCAUCGGUGUCG
rfam:Verruconis gallopava strain CBS 43764 unplaced genomic scaffold supercont1.3, whole genome shotgun sequence.